UACUGCUGACUAGCGGGAAAACUAGGAC
rnacentral:piRNA from 1 species